UUUGCAUUAUUUAUGCGUUAUUUUUGACUAUACCUACUUGAGUAGCUGUUGUAGUCCCCACUGCCACAAUAAGCUUUCGGAGGUUUGUUUUAUUUUUUGCAUCCCCGGAGCCUAGCAUAAGGCCUUGCACAUGGUAGGAGCUUACUGUUUGACUGGAAGCUGUAUUUUUAACGGGCCCAUUCCUGGGGCCGACGUCACCAACGGUGAGUUAUCCCGUUAGAGCCUACGGAGAUCUCCCGUUUCAUUCCAGCCCCGGCCCAGAGAUAGAGCCACGGCUGGAACCCACUCCCAGAGGGCUUUCCGCCGCACGCCGCGGCCGCACAGCCUCUCAAAUAUCCAGCAGCGCCUUCCAGGUCCGAGCCGGCGCCGCGAUGUCCCCGUCAUCUCCUCCCCGCCACCCCCCGCCCUCAUUGCCAGGGACUCAGAGCGGGAGGAUGGAUCUCGGUCACAGAGCACUUUUACUUUUCUAGAUUCCCUCCGCGUCUCUGCGGUUUGGGUGUUUCCAUAGUAACGCAGUCUUCCGGUCCGGCAGUACCUUGACGCCCCGCCCCCCAACCUUUGUCCAUCGGUUCUCCCCGCCCCCUGCGGGUUUUGUCCCCUCCUUGACGUCGAGCCGCCAGUGACGCAGGUUACAAGGCCCGCCCUCCUGCGCGCCGGCCAAUGCUCCGUCGGCGUAGCGAGGAGCAGCAGGUCCUCUCAAGUUGGCAGUGCGGCGGGCGGCUCGCGUGCUGAUUGGUGGGCGCGGAAGUCCGUCCGUGCUGGGCGGCGUUCUGCUGGGGAGCCCGGAAAGAUGGUGGCCGAACGCAACAAUCGGCUCAUUGGUGAAAACACGGACUGAGCUCCUGAGGUGAAGCAGCCCUUAAUCCUUUCAGGCCUUCUAGACCCGCUGUUUCCACAUGGCCCUAACCGCCCUGAAGGAGCUCCAGGCUGGGGACCAUGCCCCCUUGCUAGUCUUUGAGGUGGGCAGGAACUCCCAGUUGGACUCCCUGAGCUACCAGUCCCUCGGCAUGCGGCGAGUCUUCGUGAGGUUCCCAGA
rnacentral:lncRNA from 1 species